GACAGAGGGUGCAAACGUUGUUCGGAAUUACUGGGCGUAAAGCGCGUGUAGGCUGCUCUGCAAGUCGGAUGUGAAAGCCCUGGGCUCAACCUAGGAAGUGCACUCGAAACUGCAAAGCUGGAGUCCUGGAGAGGAAGGCGGAAUUCUCGGUGUAGAGGUGAAAUUCGUAGAUAUCGAGAGGAACGACCGGUGGCGAAGGCGGCCUUC
rnacentral:rRNA from 1 species